CCUACGGGUGGCAGCAGUGGGGAAUAUUGCACAAUGGAGGGAACUCUGAUGCAGCGACGCCGCGUGAGUGAAGAAGUAAUUCGUUAUGUAAAGCUCUAUCAGCAGGGAAGAAAGUGACGGUACCUGAAAAAGAAGCUCCGGCCAAAUACGUGCCAGCAGCCGCGGUAUUACGUAUGGCGCAAGCGUGAUCCGGAUUUACUGGGUGUAACGGGAGAGUAGGUGGCAGGGCAAGUCCGAAGUGAAAACCCAAGGCUAAACCAUGGGAAUGCUUUAGAAACUGCUCAGCUGGAGUGCAGGAGAGGCAAGAGGAAUUCUUGGUGUAGCGGGGAAAUGCGUAGAUAUUAGGAGGAACACCAGGGGCGAGGGCGGCUUGCUGGACUGUAACUGACACUGAGGCUCGAAAGCGUGGGGAGCAAACAGGAUUAGAUACCCGAGUAGUC
rnacentral:rRNA from 1 species